rnacentral:rRNA from 1 species
GACGAACGCUGGCGGCGUGCUUAACACAUGCAAGUCGAACGAUGAAGAAAAGAAUUGAAGCUUCGGCAGAAAUUCAUUUCGGAUUAGUGGCAGACGGGUGAGUAACGCGUGAGCAACCUACCUCUUACAAAGGGAUAGCCUCGGGAAACCGGGAUUAAUACCAUAUAACAUUGCGACGAAGCAUUUCGAUGCAAUCAAAGCUACGGCGGUAAGAGAUGGGCUCGCGUCCCAUUAACCAGAUGGUGAGGUAACGGCUCACCAUAGUAACGAUGGGUAACCGGCCUGAGAGGGUGAACGGUCACACUGGAACUGAGACACGGUCCAGACUCCUACGGGAGGCAGCAGUGGGGAAUAUUGCACAAUGGAGGGAACUCUGAUGCAGCGACGCCGCGUGAGUGAUGAAGGAAUUCGUUUCGUAAAACUCUGUUCUAUGGGAAGAAAAGGACUGUACCAUAGGAGAAAGCUCCGGCUAAAUACGUGCCAGCAGCCGCGGUAAUACGUAUGGAGCGAGCGUUGUCCGGAAUUAUUGGGCGUAAAGGGUGCGCAGGCGGCUUUACAAGUUGGAUGUGAAAUAUUGUGGCUCAACCACAAACGUGCAUCCAAAACUGCAAAGCUUGAGUUAAGGAGAGGUAAGUGGAAUUCCUGGUGUAGCGGUGGAAUGCGUAGAUACCAGGAGGAAUACCGGUGGCGAAGGCGACUUACUGGACUUAAACUGACGCUCAGGCACGAAAGCGUGGGGAGCAAACAGG